rnacentral:lncRNA from 1 species
GGGAGAAGCACAAGGGUAGCUUUGAGACAGUUCACAUUCAGGAUUCCCUGGGGCAUGAGUUUGCUACCCGUUUGGGAAAUGUGUUCACUCUUGGUAAAGGUAGUAAGCCAUGGGUCUCUCUACCUAAGGGUAAAGGUAUCAAGUUAUCUAUCAUUGAAGAGGCUCGCAAGAGGAUGGCUGCUCAAUCAGCUACAACUGCUUAAAAAUGAUAGGUUGAACUUGAGAUGAAUUUAAUAGGUUGCGCUAUUUUUCUCUUUGUUUAGAGGGUUGCCACCUCUUAUUUUUGGUGUUGCAUUUCAACAUCCUAUGUACUCGGUAUUGUUUUACAUACCUUUUUUUGUCAGGAAAAAACAAUGACUGAGUUUAGACCAAUCAGUUGCCUUUUUAUGUGAUGGUAUUUCAUUGUAAGAGUUUAAGGACCUUGUCGAUGAGUUUAUUCACUUGUUUCAAAAUGAGUUUUUGGUUGUAAUAUCUUCAAAUCCAACCUGCUGUUGUAUUCCAAAGUUGGUGUAGUUCACUAAACCUGAUUCGUAAUUUCAUUUUCAUAAACUUCAAAUGAUGUGGGUUCUUUUGUCCUACUAAUUGUACAAUCAAACAUAAUUGUCGAAUUAUAUGUAUUUUCGGAAUCUCUUUCCUGAUGAUUUCUGAUUUUGAUGUAAUUUUGUUUGAGUUAAUGUCAUUAGAGUUAAAAAUGAGAAGUUCAGUCAUUGAUUAUAUAGUAGAUGACUCGAAUGAGUGAGAACAAUGAAGGAUUAAUAACACUUUGAUAUUGGUUCACUUAGUCCAUCUUUUGUAUUAAAAUGUAAGAACUAAGAAUCAUAUCCUCACAAACAUUAUGAAAAGAAAGUUAUCGUGGGGACAAAUUAUUGUCCAGAUGCAAUUAGUCUUGUAGUGACAACACUUCAAGGCAUACAAUCAACUAAAACUAUUUAGUUCAUAAAUAAUGAUUUCAUUUCUGCUAAUGUAAGUGCCCAACAAGCCAUUUUAUGUACAUGUACUUGAAUACAGAGUUUAAAGAAAUUUCACUGAAGAUCGAUGAUAUGAUAUGUUUGACAUGUCUAUUCAUUUUCCAUUUUAUACAAAGAACUUCAAUAUCAAGUGGUGCUUUGCAAAUGGUUAGUACAACAAAAAUGCUGAGCAUGUAGUAAGGUAUAUUAGGCACAAAUCAUCACUUAGUUGACAUAAAAAUGCACAACCAGGUCCGACUUAGUAGAAAUAAACAUGGUAUUUAAUGAAAGAGCAAAUAGAACCUAAAACAGAAUACAAAAUUUGCACGGUAAAUUCUCACAUCAAUUCAAUCACAAUAGUAAAUUAUUACCUGCAUAACAAAAUAGAAUGUUAUUUUUGGUUUUCAAGCUAGAUAUAAGGAGAUACAUCUUAGUAAGUGUAUUUGCUAACAAAUUCAAACUUCCAUUUCAUAGCUUAAACAUCUUUCUUUCAGAUAAAUAUAGAGGCUAUGUUUGUUGGGUCGCAUAAUUGUUCGAUAAAUAAGGCCCAUAUUCUAAAGUGGUUAAAUGGCCCAAUAUGCUAUAGGCCCAAAACAAAUUGGGCGCAUGAGGUAUGUAAUAUAGUAUUUAAGAGAUUGUAUCUUCAUCUCGUUAGGGUUUGAAGAGACACACCUCUCGCCGGUUGCCGUCACUCGCCGCAGUUAAUCAGUCGGGAAACCGCCAAAAUGGUUAGUUUUCUCUAUCUGUUUAUUAAUCUCGUUAAUUUUUUUAGAUUGUUAUUUGUUGCCUGAUUGAUCAGUUGUAUUUGAGUCUCCAUGGCUUUUGUUCCAGGUCUAGACAGUACUGUAUCAGUUAUACCUUUGCUAAUUGCUUGCUAUAUGUGUAAUUCAUGUAAUAUUAUAUUCUUGGCUGUGCUUUUCGAUUUAUGCGCUGAAAUGUAUGUGUUGAUCUCAAGUGGUGCUGGUUAAUUUUAGGGCUUGUAUGUGUAAAUAAUCAAUUACAUUAGUUACUGUCGCCAUUAGAUAUUAGUGUAUACAGUUUUUUUAGUUGUAUUUUGCUGUCAUUGUGAUUGCUGUUGCACUCUGUGUUGUACUGUAUCCUUCUUAAAAAAUUAAUUUUGUUACAAGAUAAGAUUACUAAAUAAUUAGUAAAGACAUAGUGAGAAAAUAAAUAGAUCAGGCCAAAUUGGUCGUUACACAAAGUAAGACAAAUCCCUUACUGCUGAUUUAAUGAUAGCUUGAGGUUUGGACAGUGGAAUUGUGUAGUAUAAGUUCAAGUUAUUUACUCGAUGCAUUGAAUAAUUGCUCUUUACCUUUGUGAAAAAACAAGCUUCUAUUGUUGUUUGACAUAGAUAGAUUAUAAUAAAAAGCUGUGGAAUAGCUCCCCUUUUUCUUUUUGGUAAAGUGACUUUUGUUCUUUCAGCUUUCAUUUAUAUAAGUGGUAAUAUUUUUGCAUUUAGGCUUUGGAAACAUCAUACUAAAGUGAAUUGUGUAACUUCUUGUCCAUAUAUAGGCAAGAGGGUUGAAGAAACAUUUGAAGAGGCUCAAUGCGCCUAAGCAUUGGAUGCUUGAUAAACUUGGAGGUGCUUUUGUAAGUGACAUGUCUUUCCCUAUAGUCUUUUUUUUGAUAGUACUACUUAGUUUCCUCCUUCUUGACUUUACUUUUCUCCUUGGUUUCUACUGCAGGCUCCCAAGCCUUCUUCUGGUCCACAUAAAUCAAGGGAAUGUUUGCCAUUGGUUAUUAUCCUGAGGAACAGGUUGAAAUAUGCGUUGACGUACCGUGAGGUCAUUUCUAUCUUGAUGCAACGCCAAGUUAUGGUUGAUGGGAAAGUUAGAACAGAUAAGACUUACCCUGCUGGUUUCAUGGGUAAGAACACCUCUAUUAGAGUGUCUUUCAUUUCAAAACCUUUAGAUUUAUGUUCUCCUUAUUUCUGUACUGUCUAGGUUUGCGGUCUUACUGAUUCAUCUAUAUACACAUGCUUUCACAGAUCCAAAGACCAUUGUUGAUGAGAGUGUAUUCAAGCUUUUUUAUCAAAAAUUAUUGUCUCAGUGUCCUUUUUUCUUAUUUUUUUUCUUGUUGCUAUGUUUGUUGAAUUCCUUGACAAAUUGGUAAUGCUUUUAUUUUGUUUGUGUAGAUGUUGUUACUAUUCCAAAGACAAAUGAGAGCUUCCGACUUCUUUAUGACACUAAGGGUCGGUUCCGCCUCCACUCACUCAGAGACGAGGAAGCCAAGGUUUGAACCUGUAUCCUGCUUCUUCUUUGUUCCGGUUUGCUUUGGCUGUGCUGCUUAAGUAGUGACCUUGUUUUCUGCUCGCAGUUCAAACUUUGCAAGGUUCGAUCAGUCCAGUUUGGACAGAAGGGUAUCCCAUAUCUCAACACAUAUGAUGGAAGAACAAUCCGCUACCCUGAUCCCCUCAUCAAGGCCAAUGACACCAUCAAGCUGGACUUAGAUUCCAAUAAGAUUGUUGACUUCAUCAAGUUUGAUGUUGGUAAUGUGGUUAUGGUUACUGGUGGUAGAAACAGGGGACGUGUUGGAAUUCUUAAGAAUAGAGAGAAGCACAAGGGUAGCUUUGAGACAGUUCACAUUCAGGAUUCCCUGGGGCAUGAGUUCGCUACCCGUUUGGGGAAUGUGUUCACUCUUGGUAAAGGUAGUAAGCCAUGGGUGUCUUUACCUAAGGGUAAAGGUAUCAAGUUAUCUAUUAUUGAAGAGGCUCGCAAGAGGAUGGCUGCUCAAUCAGCUACAACUGCUUAAUAAUCAUAGGUUGAACUUGAGAUUAAUUUAAUAGAUUUGGUCAUUUUUCUCUUUGUUUAGAGGGAUGCCGUUCUUAUUUUUUGUGUUGCAUUUCAACAUCUGUGUACUUGGUACUAUUUUACAUACCUUUUUUUGUCAGGAAAAAAGAAAGACUCAGUUGAGAUCAAUCAGUUGCCUUUUAUGUGAUAGUAUUUUAUUGUUACAGUUUAUGAUCUUUGUCGAUGAG